GCCUGGGUGGCUCAGCUGGUUAAGCAUCUGACUUUAUCUCAGGUCAUGAUCUCUUGGCUCAUGAGUUCAAGCCUCAUGUCAGGCU
rnacentral:tRNA from 1 species